GACGAACGCUGGCGGCGUGCUUAACACAUGCAAGUCGAGCGGUAAGGCCCUUUCGGGGGUACACGAGCGGCGAACGGGUGAGUAACACGUGGGUGACCUGCCCUCAGCUCUGGGAUAAGCCUGGGAAACCGGGUCUAAUACCGGAUAUGACUCCAUGACGCAUGUUGUGGGGUGGAAAGCCUUGUGCGGCGUGAGGAUGGGCCCGCGGCCUAUCAGCUUGUUGGUGGGGUGAUGGCCUACCAAGGCGACGACGGGUAGCCGGCCUGAGAGGGCGACCGGCCACACUGGGACUGAGACACGGCCCAGACUCCUACGGGAGGCAGCAGUGGGGAAUCUUGCGCAAUGGGCGAAAGCCUGACGCAGCGACGCCGCGUGAGGGAUGACGGCCU
rnacentral:rRNA from 1 species